AUUGAACGCUGGCGGCAGGCCUAAUACAUGCAAGUCGAGCGGAUGAAGGGAGCUUGCUCUUGGCUUCAGUGGCGGACGGGUGAGUAAUGCCUAGGUAUAUGCCCGGUCGUUGGGGAUAACGUCAGGAAACGGGAGCUAAUAUCGCAUAGGACCUGAUGGUGAACGUGGGGGUUCUUCGGACCUAACGCUAUUUGCUGUCACUAGGUCGGAUUAGCUAGUUGGUGGGGUAAAGGCCUACCAAGGCGACGAUCCGUAACUGGUCUGAGAGGCUGAUCAGUCACACUGGAACUGAGACACGGUCCAGACUCCUACGGGAGGCAGCAGUAGGGAAUAUUGGACAAUGGGCGAAAGCCUGAUCCAGCCAUGCCGCGUGUGUGAAGAAGGUCUUCGGAUUGUAAAGCUCUUUAAGUUGGGAGGAAGAGCAGUAAGUUAAUACCUUGCUGUUUUGACGGUACCAACAGAAUAAGCACCGGCUAACUUCGUG
rnacentral:rRNA from 1 species